GACGAACGCUGGCGGCGUGCUUAACACAUGCAAGUCGAACGGAAAGGCCCUGCUUUUGUGGGGUGCUCGAGUGGCGAACGGGUGAGUAACACGUGAGUAACCUGCCCUUGACUUUGGGAUAACUUCAGGAAACUGGGGCUAAUACCGGAUAGGAGCUCCUGCUGCAUGGUGGGGGUUGGAAAGUUUCGGCGGUUGGGGAUGGACUCGCGGCUUAUCAGCUUGUUGGUGGGGUAGUGGCUUACCAAGGCUUUGACGGGUAGCGGCCUGAGAGGGUGACCGGCCACAUUGGGACUGAGAUACGGCCCAGACUCCUACGGGAGGCAGCAGGGGGGAAUAUUGCACAAUGGGCGGAAGCCUGAUGCAGCAACGCCGCGUGCGGGAUGACGGCCUUCGGGUUGUAAACCGCUUUCGCCUGUGACGAAGCGUGAGUGACGGUAAUGGGUAAAGAAGCACCGGCUAACUACGUG
rnacentral:rRNA from 1 species